rnacentral:rRNA from 1 species
UAGGGAAUCUUCCACAAUGGACGCAAGUCUGAUGGAGCAACGCCGCGUGAGUGAAGAAGGUCUUCGGAUCGUAAAGCUCUGUUGUUGGUGAAGAAGGAUAGAGGCAGUAACUGGUCUUUAUUUGACGGUAAUCAACCAGAAAGUCACGGGUAACUACGUGCCAGCAGCCGCGGUAAUACGUAGGUGGCAAGCGUUGUCCGGAUUUAUUGGGCGUAAAGCGAGCGCAGGCGGAAUGAUAAGUCUGAUGUGAAAGCCCACGGCUCAACCGUGGAACUGCAUCGGAAACUGUCAUUCUUGAGUGCAGAAGAGGAGAGUGGAACUCCAUGUGUAGCGGUGGAAUGCGUAGAUAUAUGGAAGAACACCAGUGGCGAAGGCGGCUCUCUGGUCUGCAACUGACGCUGAGGCUCGAAGGCAUGGGUAGCGAACAGGAUUAGAUACCCUGGUAGUCCAUGCCGUAAAACGAUGAGCGCUAGGUGUUGGGGACUUUCCGGUUCUCAGUGCCGCAGCAAACGCAUUAAGCGCUCCGCCUGGGGAGUACGACCGCAAGGUUGAAACUCU